AAGUGGUGAGGGAAAGAGGGAGGGGGGAGAGAGAGAGAGAGACUAGAGUCGCGGUAGAAAUCCGAGACCUUCCAGCACAAUGAAAAAGUCCCCCUGUGGCCGCGAAAGCCAAGUAUCGCCAGCUAUACAUUUCAGCCCAACGCUGGAGAGGAGUCCGCGGUCCAAGACCACUCGAGGUGAGGAUUCUCUCUCUCUCUCUCUCUCUCUCUCUCUCUCUCUCUCUCUCUCUCUCUCUCUCU
rnacentral:miRNA from 1 species